rnacentral:rRNA from 1 species
GGGUACUCGAGUGGCGAACGGGUGAGUAACACGUGGGUGAUCUGCCCUGCACUUCGGGAUAAGCUUGGGAAACUGGGUCUAAUACCGGAUAGGAGCCAUCUUUAGUGUGGUGGUUGGAAAGUUUUUUCGGUGUAGGAUGAGCUCGCGGCCUAUCAGCUUGUUGGUGGGGUAAUGGCCUACCAAGGCGGCGACGGGUAGCCGGCCUGAGAGGGUGUACGGCCACAUUGGGACUGAGAUACGGGCCCAGACUCCUACGGGAGGCAGCAGUGGGGAAUAUUGCACAAUGGGCGAAAGCCUGAUGCAGCGACGCCGCGUGAGGGAUGACGGCCUUCGGGUUGUAAACCUCUUUCAGCAGGGACGAAGCUUUUGUGACGGUACCUGCAGAAGAAGCACCGGCUAACUACGUGCCAGCAGCCGCGGUAAUACGUAGGGUGCGAGCGUUGUCCGGGAAUUAUUGGGCGUAAAGAGCUUGUAGGCGGUUUGUCGCGUCUGCUGUGAAAACUCGGGGCUUAACUCCGAGCCUGCAGUGGGUACGGGCAGACUAGAGUAUGGUAGGGGAGACUGGAAUUCCUGGUGUAGCGGUGGAAUGCGCAGAUAUCAGGAGGAACACCGAUGGCGAAGGCAGGUCUCUGGGCCAUAACUGACGCUGAGAAGCGAAAGCAUGGGUAGCGAACAGGAUUAGAUACCCUGGUAGUCCAUGCCGUAAACGUUGGGCGCUAGGUGUGGGGCUCAUUCCACGAGUUCCGCGCCGCAGCUAACGCAUUAAGCGCCCCGCCUGGGGAGUACGGCCGCAAGGCUAAAACUCAAAGGAAUUGACGGGGGCCCGCACAAGCGGCGGAGCAUGUGGAUUAAUUCGAUGCAACGCGAAGAACCUUACCUGGGCUUGACAUACACCAGACCGGGCCAGAGAUGGUCUUUCCCUUUGUGGUUGGUGUACAGGUGGUGCAUGGUUGUCGUCAGCUCGUGUCGUGAGAUGUUGGGUUAAGUCCCGCAACGAGCGCAACCCUUGUCUUAUGUUGCCAGCACGUUAUGGUGGGGACUCGUGAGAGACUGCCGGGGUUAACUCGGAGGAAGGUGGGGAUGACGUCAAAUCAUCAUGCCCCUUAUGUCCAGGGCUUCACACAUGCUACAAUGGUCGGUACAACGCGUCUGCGAGCCUGUGAGGGUGAGCUAAUCGCUGUAAAGCCGGUCGUAGUUCGGAUUGGGGUCUGCAACUCGACCCCAUGAAGUCGGAGUCGCUAGUAAUCGCAGAUCA